CGCGUAGGCGGGGAUUUAAGUAAGGUGUGAAAACUCCGGGCUCAACCUGGAGACUGCACUUUUAAACUGGAUCUCUUGAGGGCAGGAGAGGAAAGUGGAAUUCCUAGUGUAGCGGUGAAAUGCGUAGAUAUUAGGAGGAACACCAGUGGCGAAGGCGACUUUCUGGACUGUACCUGACGCUGAGGCGCGAAAGCGUGGGGAGCGAACA
rnacentral:rRNA from 1 species